AUGAAAAGCAUGAAUGACACAAUGGUUGUAGUUGUUGUGUUUCAUGGUCUGAGGAUUGAAAUUCACGGUUAUACCUCCUUGUCAUCAUGCCGGUGUGAAAGAUGUGAUGGGGUUUGUCUUCACAAUAAUGAGGCAGUGGCAGCAUUGGCAGCUCAAGCUGCAGGGGUUAGGAAAUUGUUAAUUUUUUAUUGA